rnacentral:tRNA from 1 species
GCCUGGGUAGCUCAGACUGUAGAGCAUCAGACUCUUAAUCUGAGGGUCCAGGGUUCAAGUCCCUGUUCAGGUGGUUCCA